GUAAAGGAGGUGCCAGGGGCGGCGGUAAGAGGUGGGGGGCAGGGGUGGUUCGGAUGUGCUGGGCGGAAAGGGCGCGUAGGCGGCGUGACAAGGCACUUGUGAAAUCUCUGAGCUUAACUCAGAACGGCCAAGUGAAACUGUUGUGCUAGAGUGCAGAAGGGGCAAUCGGAAUUCUUGGUGUAGCGGUGAAAUGCGUAGAUAUCAAGAGGAACACCUGAGGUGAAGACGGGUUGCUGGGCUGACACUGACGCUGAGGCGCGAAAGCCAGGGGAGCAAACGGGAUUAGAUACCCGGGUAGUC
rnacentral:rRNA from 1 species